AAAGUCGUAACAAGGUUUCCGUAGGUGAACCUGCGGAAGGAUCAUUAACAAAUCUGAGGGUCUGGUCUGUUGUAGGCCGGCCUAUCUUUGCGCGUGUUAUGUGUGACUGGUUAUAAAAAGGAUAAUUAUUUUCAAUUGAGACAACUUUUAACAAUGGAUCUCUUGGCUCUU
rnacentral:misc_RNA from 1 species